CUGCGGGCUGCCCCGGGGCCGCCGUUACGCCCGGGCGUCAUGCGAGGAGACGGGUGAAGGCGGUUCGCCGGUCCCCGUGCUCGGAGCUAUAAAUUGACCUUGGAAGUGGGAUGUGAAUCCAAUCGUCCGUAUCAGUGGAGACCUGCCACGUGACAUUGUUGAACACACACUGAAGGUAUUUUCAGUGUCCUACACACGCAGGGAGUGUGUGUAUAGUCAUGUUCAGGAAGGUCAGCCAAGCACAGCAUCUCAUCCAUCAUCAGUGGUUACAGUAUAGCAGGGAGUGCCACCGUAUGAUUCAGAAAUGUUCUGCAGCUGUGACACCCACCCUCCAACACCUCCUGGAAAAGACUGUCAAGGGUUUCCUUCCAAAAAUGACAGAAAUGGAUCAUGGCUUUAGUGUGACUGUAGGAGGAACUCGGGACCUGUUUACAGCAGCAGGUUUAGAGGUUGGUAGCUACGGAUCACCAGGGGCACAAGGCACUCUUACAGAGAUCCCAGCAUUCAUUUUCUGAUGAACACAAAUCUUUCUUAGGGAUGCUGCAGUUUUUAGGGUAUGACCAUUGCAGUGAGUCUUAGGGUGAGCCAGAGCACUCUACCUUACAGGACUCAGUCCUUUGCUGAUUUUAUCCAUCUGUUCAGGUUUAGCCUUAAAAUUGUUCAGACUGUUUUAACAGUAUUCCUAGCUCAGAUAAACCAUUUAAAAGGUGGAAACAAUAAAUGCCUGUUAGACAAGCAACUGCCUUGUUAACAGCUUUGUACUGAGGAUACAGCAAUUUCUGAUGCUGCAUGACACUAGUAAUAUUUUGCAAAAUUAUUAGCUAGACUCUAAAGAAGACAUCUUUGGUGGCUUACAAGUUACUCCUUUUGAUUAUUAGCAAAUGAGUUUGACAUAGGUAUUUGUAAAAGAUACUGCUCUGUCAGAAGGAUAGAGCAGAAAGGGAAAUUGCAGACCAAUAUGAUGUUGACUGAAAAGUGACUUUAUAAAUGUUUACAUCCCUCUAUCUUGCAAAAGUAACGGAGUGAUUUUAAUGCAUUUACACAUUUACACUGGACAAGCUUUUCAACUGCAAUGUUGAAAGAAAAUGUUUAAGAACUCAAACACAUUACAAGACUUUUCAAUUUAACUCAAAUGGAAAUACUUUGGUUCAACAGCUAAACAGUAGUUAAGUUAAUCUGACCAGUGUAUUAUUAGCUACAAUCAGGAAGGCACCACAAUCCUUGCUAGUGGCUUCUUGGGGUCAGAAGAGAAAAUGCAUCUCCUAGCAGCUGACCUGUUUUCAGAGUGGUACCUGGCAUGAACUUUUCACCAGCACUGUUUUUUUGGACUCCUGGGUAGUCAGGUGAAGAGCACAGGACCCCACACAGCCCUGACUGCGAGCACAGUUCACUCUUUUUCCUGUGUUUGGAAGUACACCUUAUGGAGCAUUUUGUUGAAAGGUGUUUCUCUCUAAUGAAAGGAAAUAUACUUCAUAUAAUUCACAGAUGCAGGAAUCUGUCCAUCACAAGUCAGGUAAUCUUAAAGCCUGCUUUAAGGGGUGUUACUCUUCUAGGAAUAGGAGUUCACAGGGAGAAGGGGAGGGGAAAAGAGUAAUCAUCUUUAUGAAAUAAAUCCACUAGUGGGAAGGGAGGGGUGAGCAUGCCAUGUAGAUAAAGGCUAAACCAACUUCCUAAAAGGAAGUGCCAACAAAAAAAUACUGACAAGGAAGUGGGAAGUAAUAGCAGCAUUCACAGGGAAUUUGGAAGUAUCACUCUGAACCACAAGGUUCAUUACUUUCCUGGGUGCACCAUGGGUUCAAGUGCUUGGGGAUGCAGCAUGUACAAGCUUGUGCACAUUCAUGGUUUGAACACUUGUCAUGUGCUUGUUUGAAGAGGGACUAACUUUGUUUAAUGUCCAGCCUAAACAAAAAUGCACCACAUUCAUGGAAAAGGCCAUUAAAAUAGUGAAGUUACAUCCAGCUGACUGAUGAGCCACAAGAGGUCUGCACCUCACCCAGUUUCAGUACCACUUCUCUCUAGGUACAUCUUCCCCAGCUGUAUACAGUUGUGGACCAGCAGAACGGGGAGAGGUUAGACAGUAAAAGCUCUUAAAUAACAUUUUUUUCUUUAUUUUUUCUCUGUAGAGAUGCCCAGUUAUCCCCAAACAGAUUUUGCAUUUGGACUUUGAUAUGAAACAUAUCAGAGGUUUUGUCCCUUAAUACAGGGUUGGGAUUGUCUUCUUUGGGAGCACUAAUCUCCCUUCUGAAGGAAGAGAAACACCGACAAUUGAAGACUAUCUUUCAGUUGGAAACAGUAAAGAUAAAUGAAACAAUGGUGGCAGAGGAUGAAAGCAUACUCUGCAAAGAAUAUUUUCUACAUCAUUAACAUGAGACAUCUAAAAAAUCUAAAACAUCCUCUAGUAGCAGGUUGCUAAAAAAUACUGUGAAAUUAGAAGUGGGAGCAUGAGUAAAUUUUUAAAAGCACUAUUAUUUUUUCAUUUCUAAUCAAAUACAAUUUUGUUGCAUUAGGAUAGUGCUAGCAAUAUACAAAAUAAUUUGUUUUGUCGGAGAAUAAAAUACACUCUUGGAUAAGUAUUAUUCACCAUCUGUAUGCUUUUAUUCAGUUCUAAUCCAGAGGUUAAAUGAAUACCCUAGAGAUGUUAAUUUGCUCUAAGAACUUAAUGUUCUUCCUCAACCUCCUUCCAUGGGAUGUUCAGGUUCUUGCUCAGAAGUUCCUGAGUUAAAUAAGUGUAUGUAUCCAGUCAGCAGGUAAAGGGAAGCAAUACAGCAUGUCACAGCCACAGAGAUGAAGUUGAAUAUUUUCAGCUUUGUAACCACCUCUGGAGGAGCAGCAUUUCUUUGUCUGAUCUUAAACAGAAGAGUCAUCUAAAUAAAAUCACUUAUAUAUUGAAGACCUUAAGGAUGAUAUUACAUUGAUUCACCCUUACUCUGUUGGUUUCAGUCUGCAGACUUUCAAAAUAAAAGCAGCAAACAUUUAUGUGGUUGCUUCACAGAAGAAGAGUUAUGAAGUAAUAUACACACAUCCUAUCCCUUCCUGCAGUUAGGCACUUUUGAAACCUCCACCAGUUGUCUUUAUACAUUAGGACAGAAUAAAACUAUUCUUAACUUUGAUCAGUGGGUUAGAACAGAAUUUUGGUUUGUUCCUUAGGCAAUAGUAAUUGCAGCGGAACUCUGAGUGCAUCUACAUUUAACUUUGAUGUAUGUUACUAAAAUUUGGCCAGAGAAUUGAGAACAUGAAUAACUACCCUGCUGACUCCAGACGCCCCAGCUGAGUCCUUUCUGAUAGGAUUUAUCCUAAGGAGAUAUCAGCUGUCUAUAUCCUAAAACCAAGCAACAAAAAGUUAUGGGAAUGUAUUUUAAUAUUAUGGAACAAACAGGUAUUGCAGUGAACCCAGGCCGCUUCUCAUUCUGUAGGCACAUUUUAGCUAUCCUACAGGUCAGCAUUCCCAGAAAUAGUUUUUGCACAAAUACUACUUUUCUUUACCAUCUCCAUCCUGCAACCAAGAAUGGUGGAUCAUGAAAAGUCAUGUUUCUUCCUUUGAGGAGUCAGGACUUCCUACUAACAACCUGCUUUAAAAAAAAUUUCUGACCAAUUUUAAUGAUUCCCCUUUAACUUUGAUGUGAUGCAGUGUUUUGUCUCAAGGAUAGCAAACUGACCCAUUCAAGAAAGCAGAUAAUACUCUAAAAUUCAUGGGUGAACAUGGACUACCUUCCUCCUUGUACACCCCCUUCAGAGUGCAACUUGUUACUUAAAAUAGGAGACCUGAGCAGCAGUCUUUAAGCUUGAUAACACAGCACUGGAAAGUGCUUUACUUGUCAGGUUUCAUAUGCAACACACCUACAAAGCCACUAUUCCAAGUUCUUACCCUUCAGGUUACAACCAGACAUCUGACUCCACCUCUUCAAAGAACAGUGGCACAGUAUCAUUCUUUCGACAAGAGCCACUGUUAAGUGCAACUGCAUACUUGUACCAAUAAAAGGCUUGAAGGAAAGCAAUGCAAAAGCUGCUAGAAUUUAGAGGCUGGCUUAAGGCUUUGAAAUGUGAGAAAACAGUUAAUGAGUGCUUGAUUUCCAAUACUAGAAAAUAACAACAUGAAGAUUGGAGUCUGUCAAAGUCUAGACGUAUGAGGGAGUCCAGGCAGACAGGAUAUUUUCUCUGGUGAAGGAAAAUGUAUUACCUACACUGUCUGGUCUCUGCUGAUCUUCUUUACAAGCUUAACUACUGGAAAAUUAACAUAAAUAUUUCCAGAAUCUGGUUUCCAAACUCCUCAGCUACUUCCUUUGAGCGUAUAUGUUCCACAUUUGGAAGUGGGAUGAGCACACAUUCAAAAAGGUCCAAAUUAACAAGACUGAAAUUAGCGACUCCGUCUGCCACAUCACAUCUCCUACCCCCAGGGACCUGCCGCCUCAGGAAUCCCCUCACUCCACAACCAGGAGUGGAAGCCCCUUAGAAUCAGCCCUCCUUCCUUCCUCUGCACUCGAAACAGUGGCCUAAGGGCAGCCCUACUUGCAGGCUGUAUGAUUUAAGAGGCUGGGAUAAUAAGGUGGUAAAUUCUGAAAAGAAACAAGAUCACUAUCUCAGUUGUUAGCAGACUAAAUACUUUUGUUUUCCUUACUCCAGUUUGAAAGUGAUUAAAGGGAGGUUGUCUGUAGCUGAACCGAACUGAAUAUUUUGAGUGCAAAAUUUCACAAUUUACUAAAUAUACAGCAGAUUCUGGAACACUCAGAUUAGUACUACCAUAUUGCCAAAUACUUUUGGAGAAACAUAGGAAAAAAUGCAUUAAUUUAGUGAAAUGCUUGUGGUAAUUUAAGCAGAGACAAAUAAAAUAAUGGGGAGAAAAAUGCCAGGUAAAAUAUGCUUGUGGGAGAACAACUCUAACCAAUUAAGAUCUGAAUACGAGAAGGUAAUUUUGGAAAAGACCCUAUACUAAAAUUUGCUAUAAUGGGAUCAUUACUGAAAUGUGUGGCAUGAAGCCCAAGCUAACGUACAAUGAUAUUAAUAUUUGGAAGCUGCAGCUCAUUCACUUGCAGUCAAAAGGUUUCUUAAGAUCAAAACCAAAAGUUAAAACUUCAAAGAAAGAAUCCAAAAAAGUGAGGUGUCCUGCAGACAGCACUUUGCUAGGACUCAGAAAAGUAGGCUUUAUAAGCAACACUAACCUGCUAGACUACUGCAGCCAGAGGAUUUCCCCUUCACCUCAGUUCUCACAUUUGUAUUCUUUGUAGAACAUUUUAGUACCUGUUGAACCAAAGUGUCAUAUAAAGCCUUCAGGCGAUUACAUAUAAUUUGUAAUCAUUCUUCCUAGCUUUGCUGCAUCAAGCACAGAUGAGACAACAGAAAAAGCAAGUGACUGUAGUGCUCUGGAAGAAACACACUUUUGACCAGAACUCAGUUUGGCUUACCUAGAACCCACAUCGUGACCUGAAGUCUUCCAUCACAAGGCUGUGAUUACAAGGUCUUUGAUGAAAGAACCUUCUCUUAACAUAGCACCUCUAAGAUGAUAGAUGCAUUUAAGAGUACUGAAACAGAGGUAUCUACGGCAAAGUACCUUAAUUCAGGUUCAUAUGAAACACAGCAUCAUCAACAAAUGAAUGCUGCAAAACAGUGAGAAGAACAGGCUCUAAUCCCAUCCAAAGAGAAGACUCCUAAACAGCAGCAGAUAAAGGUUCGCACUGCAAGCACUUCAGAAGAGCAUAUAUAGCUCAACAUCCUUUUACAAUGAUAACAUCUGAUACUUCUGAUCCCACUACUACAUCCAGUCUCCAACCUCUGCGUGGAGGUGUGCACAGAACAAUCUUCGGGUCUGUGAAAAGGGAGACCACAGGAUGGCACCACUCCCACAGGAGCGGGGCAGAUGCACUGCGCGUGAGACUGCAUGAGAAACGUGGAGGCAACACCUACACUGGAGGAACCAUACUAUACCUCAGCAGAAGGCACAACGCAGGUAAAAAUUGGCAAAGCCAAGAAUUAAUACAGGAGUCAAAAGUCUUGAUCAUCAUAUUCUAAAACCUAUUUCAAAUGCAAUUGGUAAGCUGAAAAGGAAUAGCAUCAGAUACUCAGAAAAAAAAAAUAUUUGAACUACUAAGGUCUUAUUUUAUUAUGGUCUAGGUGUUACAGCAAGUUUACUACCAGCAUCUCUAGGAAUGAUCUGUCACUACCCUUACUGUCAAAACAUCAGCACAAUCAUUUUAAUUACAAAUAUUUUUCCCCUCCUUGUAGUUUCAGAUAUAUUCUAGUUUUUCAAAUUCCAACAUCUUUCCUUGCAAAGCUGACCAGGACUUCUCUUUAUUAGAUUAUAUUUUCCCCACUUAAUAUCAUUUCAAGAGAAUACAAGUAAAUAGUAUGCAAUUAAUUGCUAUAUUGUGGUGUCUAUUCUUAACAUAUUCCAAGUAUGUUUACACAGUGUAAAGCACAGGUACUUUUCUUCAAUACCUUUAUCUAAAUAGACUAAAUUAAUAGCAAAAUAACAAUUAACAGAUGAUAACUAUUUUACCAAUUAUCUUGCCUCCACUUGAAUUCUGGAUCAGUUUACUUUAUAAAUCAAAAAUAAUCAUACACACAUGCUCUCCCAUCUUGCUCUUUCCCUGCACACCUCAAGGCAGAUUAUCUAUGAAGUCUGCUUUUAAAGUAGUUUGCAUGUGUGCAUAACUAAACUCUCCAAGGAAAUCUGUCUCUAACUCAGAAUGACACCAAGAAUAUAAACAUUUACCACUCUUAGCUCUCAUGAAAUUGUUCAAAUCCAUCUCUAAAAAGUGAAACAACCAAUCACAAACGAAACAGAAGUGACAGAUUAAAAAACUCCCAAGCAAAUUGCAAAGUAAUAUUCACCCUUUCCUAGGAACUCUUUCAACAGGUACUUUCUCAAAGACUGCUUAUAAGCAAAUUACGAAAACCAGUGGAGUUGAUGAUUAGAACUACACUGAUUUCAGCAUAGCUAUCAGUCUAUUUUCUUCCAUGUUAAGUGUAUAAAAAGCAGCUGAUAUUUACCAAAUAAAUUGGCAAUAAACAUAGAAGCAAUUCUAGUUUAAGUAUUUUCAGGCAAAAGUUAGAAUUUCUGUCUAAGAAUUGUGCUAGAAAGCACAAUUGUGAUAAAAGUUUUCUAUGUUUCCUAAGCUUUAAAUCGACGCUUUAUCAUCUCUGUCUUUGAACAUGCAAAGUAACCCCAUACUGCAACUUCGUCAGUGUGUCUUAACUCCAGUCAGACUAACUUAGGUUGGAAGGGCCCUCUGGAGGUCUCCUACUACAGCCUCCCGCUCAAAACAGAGCAGACUUUACAAUUAAAUUAUGUUUUUCAGGCAGGGCUUUGUCCAGUUGAGAGCUAAUAUUACUAAUUUUUUUCCUGCCACUUGCUUCUAGAUUUGCAGUCUGGGAAGAUGUGGGAAACGGUCAUUCUUACACUUCAAGGCUAAUCAUUUUAUUCAAUGAUUUCUUCUUAAGCACUGAAUAUUUUCUAAUUUAAAAAUACACGAGUAAAAUCCUGUAAAUACAAAAAUUUUAAAAAUAAAA